rnacentral:rRNA from 1 species
UACGUAGGGUGCAGGCGUUAUCCGGAAUUAUUGGGCGUAAAGAGCUCGUAGGUGGUUUGUCGCGUUGUCCGUGAAAACUCACAACUCAAUUGUGGGCGUGCGGGCGAUACGGGCAGACUGGAGUACUGCAGGGGAGACUGGAAUUCCUGGUGUAGCGGUGGAAUGCGCAGAUAUCAGGAGGAACACCGGUGGCGAAGGCGGGUCUCUGGGCAGUAACUGACGCUGAGGAGCGAAAGCGUGGGGAGCGAACAGG